GACGAACGCUGGCGGCGUGCCUAAUACAUGCAAGUUGAGCGAUGAAGAUUGGUGCUUGCACCAAUUUGAAGAGCAGAGAACGGGUGAGUAACGCGUGGGGAAUCUGCCUUUGAGCGGGGGACAACAUUUGGAAACGAAUGCUAAUACCGCAUAAUAACUUUAAACAUAAGUUUUAAGUUUGAAAGAUGCAAUUGCAUCACUCAAAGAUGAUCCCGCGUUGUAUUAGCUAGUUGGUGAGGUAAAGGCUCGCCAAGGCGAUGAUACAUAGCCGACCUGAGAGGGUGAUCGGCCACAUUGGGACUGAGACACGGCCCAAACUCCUACGGGAGGCAGCAGUAGGGAAUCUUCGGCAAUGGACGAAAGUCUGACCGAGCAACGCCGCGUGAGUGAAGAAGGUUUUCGGAUCGUAAAACUCUGUUGGUAGAGAAGAACGUUGGUGAGAGUGGAAAGCUCAUCAAGUGACGGUAACUACCCAGAAAGGGACGGCUAACUACGUG
rnacentral:rRNA from 1 species